GGCAGGAUGGGAAGGCAACCGAAAAGGAACCCGUUCACAGCAACGGGAGAGACGGGGGAAGAGAACCAAGACAUUGCUGACGAGUUGGCGAUCGAUCGGAGGCAGGAGAAAGAGGCCUUCAAACCCUCAAGGCUACUCUCUCAUUCCCCCAUUUGCCACACAUACCGUGGAAGCCCACGUGGUGCGGCCGAGGAGGUUCACCACUUCUCCAAAUUGGUCAGAUCUCAAUGUCCACAGGUUGGGCGGACGACCAGGCACCACAGAGCGAAGCCCUAAAAAGCGAGCAGGACUCUCCUCCCCCCCCAACCCAAGGAGAGCCGAGCCCCACCUCCGAUGACAAUCCUGAACUGGCAGAAUAGUUGAAGCCCGGGGUGGACAACAGCGGAUCCGGCAUCACUCAGUGGUUCAUAUCGCAAUGGAGCUCUUUGAUAUGGAGAUGCCCGGUAGGGCAUCGGCCAAGAAGCAGUUCUGACUCUGAAUGUUCAUCCCUAUGUAACGUGGCCGACUCAGGCCGAACGCUACCGAGUAUCUAUAUACAACACAACUACCCCUUUCACUAUCUCUGAAUAAUUUUUAAUAUUUAUCUCGAGCAGGGGAGAACGAAUUAGAAUAUUCUCCUUAAUUACAUUACGUAAAUUCACAUGAUAAAAUUAUCAGAAUCAAUUGAUGGUGUUGGCAGCACUGACCCACCGAAUGGGAGUCCCAAAUGUACGUAUGACAUUGAAGUAUUACCAACAGUGGAUUUGAAAGUGGUGCAAACAUUCAAAGAAGUAAAAUGGAAAAUUAACUCUAUUCAAUUGAGUUUUCAAUUCAAUUAU